rnacentral:rRNA from 1 species
UACGGGGGGGGCAAGCGUUGUUCGGAAUUACUGGGCGUAAAGGGCUCGUAGGCGGCCAACUAAGUCCGACGUGAAAUCCCCAGGCUUAACCUGGGAACUGCGUCGGAUACUGGUUGGCUUGAAUCCGGGAGAGGGAUGCGGAAUUCCAGGUGUAGCGGUGAAAUGCGUAGAUAUCUGGAGGAACACCGGUGGCGAAGGCGGCGA